GGGAGUGUAGCUCAGUGACAGAGCUCUUGCCUGACAUGCAAGGGGCCCUAGGCUCAAGCCCCAGUAUUGCAA
rnacentral:tRNA from 1 species